rnacentral:tRNA from 1 species
GGAGGAGUAAUCAAGCCUGGCCAAAGUAAGCACUGUGCUUUUGCUCAGGAGUUCGUGGGUUCAAAUCCCACCUCCUCCA